rnacentral:rRNA from 1 species
UACGUAGGUGGCAAGCGUUAUCCGGAUUCACUGGGUUUAAAGGGUGCGUAGGCGGAUUGGUAAGUCCGUGGUGAAAUCUCCAAGCUUAACUUGGAAACUGCCGUGGAUACUAUCAAUCUUGAAUAUCGUGGAGGUAAGCGGAAUAUGUCAUGUAGCGGUGAAAUGCUUAGAGAUGACAUAGAACACCAAUUGCGUAGGCAGCUUACUACACGAUAAUUGACGCUGAGGCACGAAAGCGUGGGGAGCAAACAGG